AAGUGGCUUUUUCGAAGACGAUCAGGUACCGUUGUAGUUCCGACCAUAAACAAUGGCGACUGGCGAUGCGGCAGCGGCGUUUCCAUGACCCGCCGGGCAGCUUCCGGGAAACCAAAGGAC
rnacentral:ncRNA from 1 species